AGAAGUUGGCGUUUGCUUAAUUUAAAUGGUGAAGUUGUUGUCGAACGACCGGCGUCAGUUUGAAAAGUUUAUCAACAACAUCACUGAAAGUUAAACAUGUCUGUGCCCCGAUAUGACGCUGUUUGUCAAAGCAAAUUAAUAUUAUCAUCGUUACUGCGGACUGAAGGCCGCACACCGGGGAAACGACACCUGGCAGCCAUGACCGCGAACAGGGCGGCACCUGCUCAACGCCGACAGGUAACCGACCAAAGGCCAGGCGGACAUGUUGGAAGCUAACGGUGAAGCUAAAGAGAAGUCGGACUAAAGCUAACAGCACCCUGUCAGCUCUCCAGCAGAUUUUCAGAGAGGGAGGAGAAGGGAGAGAAAAAAAAGAAGAGAAAUGACUGUGCAAGGGUUUCACAACCAGAUUUGCUUCUCAUGCAGUGGCCUCAUGGUGGUGGUGAAGCUCCUUCAGUGGUGAGUACCCUACUGCAGACCCAGAAAACAACUUCUUAAAAUUCUCUGAAGAAGUUGUCAAAAAAAAUUCUGCAUACUACAGUAGAGAUGAAA